rnacentral:rRNA from 1 species
GGCGUGCCUAAUACAUGCAAGUCGAACGGACAAGUAAGAGCUUGCUCUUAUGAGUUAGUGGCGCACGGGUGAGUAAUGUAUAGCUAAUCUGCCCUACACUAGAGGACAACAGUUGGAAACGACUGCUAAUACUCUAUACUCCUCUCUAGCAUAAGUUAGAUAGGGAAAGUUUUUCGGUGUAGGAUGAGGCUAUAUUGUAUCAGCUAGUUGGUGAGGUAAUGGCUCACCAAGGCUAUGACGCAUAACUGGUCUGAGAGGAUGAUCAGUCACACUGGAACUGAGACACGGUCCAGACUCCUACGGGAGGCAGCAGUAGGGAAUAUUGCUCAAUGGGGGAAACCCUGAAGCAGCAACGCCGCGUGGAGGAUGACACUUUUCGGAGCGUAAACUCCUUUUGUUAGGGAAGAACAAUGACG